rnacentral:rRNA from 1 species
ACGCUGGCGGCGUGCCUAAUACAUGCAAGUAGAACGCUGAAGAGAGGAGCUUGCUCUUCUUGGAUGAGUUGCGAACGGGUGAGUAACGCGUAGGUAACCUGCCUUGUAGCGGGGGAUAACUAUUGGAAACGAUAGCUAAUACCGCAUAACAAUAGGUGACACAUGUCAUUUAUUUGAAAGGGGCAAUUGCUCCACUACAAGAUGGACCUGCGUUGUAUUAGCUAGUAGGUGAGGUAACGGCUCACCUAGGCGACGAUACAUAGCCGACCUGAGAGGGUGAUCGGCCACACUGGGACUGAGACACGGCCCAGACUCCUACGGGAGGCAGCAGUAGGGAAUCUUCGGCAAUGGGGGCAACCCUGACCGAGCAACGCCGCGUGAGUGAAGAAGGUUUUCGGAUCGUAAAGCUCUGUUGUAAGUCAAGAACGAGUGUGAGAGUGGAAAGUUCACACUGUGACGGUAGCUUACCAGAAAGGGACGGCUAACUACGUGCCAGCAGCCGCGGUAAUACGUAGGUCCCGAGCGUUGUCCGGAUUUAUUGGGCGUAAAGCGAGCGCAGGCGGUUUGAUAAGUCUGAAGUUAAAGGCUGUGGCUCAACCAUAGUUCGCUUUGGAAACUGUCAAACUUGAGUGCAGAAGGGGAGAGUGGAAUUCCAUGUGUAGCGGUGAAAUGCGUAGAUAUAUGGAGGAACACCGGUGGCGAAAGCGGCUCUCUGGUCUGUAACUGACGUUGAGGCUCGAAAGCGUGGGGAGCGAACAGGAUUAGAUACCCUGGUAGUCCACGCCGUAAACGAUGAGUGCUAGGUGUUGGAUCCUUUCCGGGAUUCAGUGCCGCAGCUAACGCAUUAAGCACUCCGCCUGGGGAGUACGACCGCAAGGUUGAAACUCAAAGGAAUUGACGGGGGCCCGCA